UCCAGCUGUUUUGGGACUACAGUUCCCAUCAUCCAUGACCACUGGUCCUGUUAGCUAGGGAUGAUGGGAGUUGUAGUCCCAAAACAGCUGGA